rnacentral:rRNA from 1 species
UACGUAGGGUGCGAGCGUUUAAUCGGAAUUACUGGGCGUAAAGCGUGCGCAGGCGGUUUUGUAAGCCAGAUGUGAAAUCCCCGGGCUUAACCUGGGAAUGGCAUUUGGGACUGCAAGGCUUGAGUGCGGCAGAGGAGACUGGAAUUCCUGGUGUAGCAGUGAAAUGCGUAGAUAUCAGGAGGAAUACCGAUGGCGAAGGCAGGUCUCUGGGCUGACACUGACGCUCAUGCACGAAAGCGU